UUUCAUGGAGAGUUUGAUCCUGGCUCAGGACGAACGCUGGCGGCGUGCCUAAUACAUGCAAGUCGAGCGGACAGAUGGGAGCUUGCUCCC
rnacentral:rRNA from 1 species